rnacentral:rRNA from 1 species
UGUACUUGGUGUUACUGCGAAGGGGGGACGGAGAAGGCUAUGUUGGCCGGGCGACGGUUGUCCCGGUUUAAGCGUGUAGGCUGGUUUUCCAGGCAAAUCCGGAAAAUCAAGGCUGAGGCGUGAUGACGAGGCACUACGGUGCUGAAGCAACAAAUGCCCUGCUUCCAGGAAAAGCCUCUAAGCAUCAGGUAACAUCAAAUCGUACCCCAAACCGACACAGGUGGUCAGGUAGAGAAUACCAAGGCGCUUGAGAGAACUCGGGUGAAGGAACUAGGCAAAAUGGUGCCGUAACUUCGGGAGAAGGCACGC